GCUCGCUUUGGCAGCAUAUACUAAAAUUGGAAUGAUACAGAGAAGAUUAGUGUGGCCCCUGUGCAAGGAUGAUGAAGUGUUCCAUAUUCCU
ensembl:snRNA U6 U6 spliceosomal RNA